UACAGAGGGUGCGAGCGUUGUCCGGAAUCACUGGGCGUAAAGGGCGCGUAGGCGGCCUGAUAAGUAGGGGGUGAAAUCCUGUGGCUUAACUGCAGGGCUGCCUCCUAGACUGUUAGGCUCGAGCACGGUAGAGGCAGAUGGAAUUCCCGGUGUAGCGGUGGAAUGCGUAGAGAUCGGGAAGAACAUCGGUGGCGAAGGCGGUCUGCUGGGCCGUUGCUGACGCUGCGGCGCGACAGCGUGGGGAGCAAACAGG
rnacentral:rRNA from 1 species